CGAACGCUGGCGGCGUGCCUAAUACAUGCAAGUCGAACGGUCUUUCUAUGGAAGCUUGCUUCCACUGAGAAGAUAGUGGCGAACGGGUGAGUAACACGUGGGUAACCUGCCCAUAAGAGGGGGAUAACAUCCGGAAACGGGUGCUAAUACCGCAUAGUUUUCUUGAUCGCAUGAUCGGGAAAGGAAAGACGGCCUUUGUGCUGUCGCUUAUGGAUGGACCCGCGGCGUAUUAGUUAGUUGGUGAGGUAACGGCUCACCAAGACGAUGAUACGUAGCCGACCUGAGAGGGUGAUCGGCCACAUUGGGACUGAGACACGGCCCAAACUCCUACGGGAGGCAGCAGUAGGGAAUCUUCCGCAAUGGACGAAAGUCUGACGGAGCAACGCCGCGUGAGUGAAGAAAGGUUUUCGGAUCGUAAAACUCUGUUGUCAGAGAAGAACAAGUUGGAGAGUAACUGCUCCAGCCUUGACGGUAUCUGACCAGAAAGCCACGGCUAACUACGUGCCAGCAGCCGC
rnacentral:rRNA from 1 species